GGGGUUGUAGCUCAGGUGGAUAGAGCGCUCGUUUCCUAAAUGAGAGGCCGUGAGUUCGAGUCUCGCCAGCCCCG
rnacentral:tRNA from 1 species